UAUUAAGCAUAUACUACUAGAUUUGUCUUUUAAGUCAAUUUGUUUGAUGGUGAUGGUGUAAAAUAUUCUUCUUAUACUAAUGCCUUUUUAGGUCAAUGAGGGAGUUUUUCUACAUGAAGAAUAUCAAUUGAUUUUGCUUUUACAGACACUAACUACUCUUGAGUCUUGUCAUCAUAUUAGAACUCAUGAUAUUGCGGAAGCUGCUAUAACUUCAAUCAAUUCUGGAACAGAUACCUUCCACCACCAUGACCCUAUGCCGCUUCCCUUCUACUACUUCAGCUCCAUGAUCUAUGUUUUAUCUCUGAACCAUAUUCACACACUAGAAUGAUAUAGAAUUCCUGAAAUCAGAGGCAUCCAUCUUUUCUGAGAAAAAAUAUGUUUUGACCUUCAUUUCAAAGAUUAUAAAGUUUACAAUGUUGGAGUAGUAACUUUCUUGCUGAGAUUUUUGUAGCAGCACUUCUGCUGCAACAUCAUUUCCUUAUGAUUUCUCUCUCUGCAACAAUGAACAUGAAAAAGGAAAUGAACUAUGAAUUCCUUGAUUAGAAGAUCUUAUGCUGAAAGCUUGUGCCAACCUUGCAUUCUUGAUUUGGACCAAUGAGCUAUUGCCUAUAGACUAUUUACUGCUAGCACUUCAUCGAUAGAGAUGACGAUCCCCGUGCUCUGUGAAUUGCGUUCCAAGUGAGCACCACAUAUCAAAGCUCAAGUAGCAUCACGUGGUGGUCCAUCUGAAGGCCAGAAACCGUUCUAUCCGCUCCAGGAUCCUGGCGCAUAUACACAGUUGGUUCUUCAAACAGCUGUUGUAGAAAUCCUCUCUUCCUAUAACUGUGUCCCGCUUUGUAUCAUCACUUGUUCAGAUCAUUCUUCACAUACAACCAACUUUGGUUCAAUCCAGCGAUAGCGUUGGCCAAAGUCCUGUGUUGGAUGAAACAACUGAUACACACACACGCACGCACGCACACUAUAUCCUUAUUGAGGAUAUUGUGGAUGCACCUGAAAAAAGCCUUAGAAUUUUUCAAAGUAAAUCUUGUCCCACCGUUCACUGUUGGUGGUGACUAGCUUUAAUCAUAGGCAUAUGCACCGGCCAUAUAACUUUACCAAGAAACACAUGUCUGCCAAACAGGGUUGUUAUCUCCUUUUUUUUUCUCUGUAAUAUCUCUAGUCUGCUUACACAGAGAAUUACUCAUCAUUAAUUUCAUGUUUUAUC